rnacentral:rRNA from 1 species
CAGAGGUACUGCUAUCKMGRWUCGACUAAGCCAUGCGAGUUGAAUGUUCUUCGUGAACAUGGCGGACUGCUCAGUAACACGUGGACAACCUACCCUUGGGUCCGGCAUAAUCCUGGGAAACUGGGAAUAAUUCCGGAUAGGUCACCGAUGCUGGAAUGCGCGGUGGCCGAAAGCUCCGGCGCCCGAGGAUGGGUCUGCGGCCUAUCAGGGUUGUAGUGGGUGUAACGUACCUACUAGCCUACGACGGGUACGGGUUGUGAGAGCAAGAGCCCGGAGAUGGAUUCUGAGACACGAAUCCAGGCCCUACGGGGUGCAGCAGGCGCGAAAACUUUACAAUGCGGGAAACCGUGAUAAGGGGAUCUCGAGUGCCAGCAUAUAAUGUUGGCUGUCCAGAUGCCUAAAAAGCAUCUGUUAGCAAGGGCCGGGCAAGACCGGUGCCAGCCGCCGCGGUAACACCGGCGGCCCGAGUGGUAACCGCUAUUAUUGGGUCUAAAGGGUCUGUAGCCGGCCAGGUAAGUCCCUUGGGAAAUCUGGCAGCUCAACUGUCAGGCUGCUAGGGGAUACUGUUUGGCUUGGGACCGGGAGAGGUGAGAGGUACCUUGGGGGUAGGGGUGAAAUCUUGUGAUCCUCGAGGGACCACCAGUGGCGAAGGCGUCUCACCAGAACGGGUCCGACGGUAAGGGACGAAAGCUAGGGGCACGAACCGGAUUAGAUACCCGGGUAGUCCUAGCCGUAAACGAUGCUCGCUAGGUGUCAGUCACGGUGCGACCGUGAUUGGUGCCGUAGGGAAGCCGUGAAGCGAGCCACCUGGGAAGUAUGGCCGCAAGGCUGAAACUUAAAGGAAUUGGCGGGGAGMGCACUACAACGGGUGGAGCCUGCGGUUAAUG